CUGGCUACUGUCAUGCCGUCCCUGUGUGGGGCUGGCCUCAGCUCUCUGGCUGACCUUCCCCUGACUCCAAGAGGGAAGGAAUAGUGAGGCUCUGUGUCCUCCAAGCCGGGCCUUCCUGUGACCUGCACAAACGUCUCAGCCCCUCUCCCACAACCCUCCAGCAAAGCCUCUCCGGAGCUCUUGGUUUAUUUUUUCAGCUCCAGGGGGUGUUGCUGUUAAAUGACAUGUUUGCAAAAGCUCUGUUGUGGAGGCACAGCCCGGACACUGCCUACUAAGAAAUAUCAGAGAGCAAAGCUGAUGGAGAUGGACCAAGAAAUGUCAGCCAGCAUCCAAGCAUUUCUUUGAUCCCAGAAAUGGCCAUACAAGAAGCUCCUCAACUUAUCAUGGGGUUACAUCUGAUAAACCCAUCGGCUGACUGAAAACGAUGAACGUGGCUUGCAGCUUCUGCCCAGUACUGCACGAAAAGAUUGAACGGCUUCUCAAUAGCCUGGGGAAAGAUCCCAAUUCAAAAUUCAUUGCACGAUUUGUACUGUGGACAUCUUGCUUUAGUACCAUUGUAAAGUUCAAAAUUUCUAAAUCAAAUCUUCUAAGUCUAAAACUAUAUGUUUUAUUUAUUUAUUUAUUUGUUUGGUUAUUAAAUCCUAACACAAGCUUACUUGUUUUUUAACCUUUUAGAUCAGAAAAUUGUAUGAAAACUGUAUUCAUGAGAUAUCUGUGACUUUUUGUUUGCCCUAAGGUUCUUUAGGAAACCAAACACAAACUUUGGAUCUUGCCAGAAUAAUAAUGUAGGUUUAUGUAAACAGUAAAACUUAUCAUUGUUGUUCUGUUUGUAUAACUGAUAGAUAAGAUUUCAGGUGUUCCAUACCACUUCAACAAAAGUGAGGGGAAAAAAAUCCUACAUAUUCAUUACCAAAAGAAUCAAAACAAGGGAUGCAUGCGCAUGCGCGCGCACACACACACACACACA